ACCAGAUUGAAAACUGGGCAAAGAAACUGAAUGAGCAUUUCUUUAAAGAAGACAUACAAAUGGCCAGCAUGUAUAUGAAAAGACACUGAAAACACACUAAUU